rnacentral:rRNA from 1 species
UGGGGAAUAUUGGACAAUGGGGGAAACCCUGAUCCAGCAAUGCCGCGUGAGUGAUGAAGGCCUUCGGGUUGUAAAGCUCUUUUGUCAGGGACGAUGAUGACGGUACCUGACGAAUAAGCUCCGGCUAACUUCGUGCCAGCAGCCGCGGUAAUACGAGGGGAGCUAGCGUUGUUCGGAAUUACUGGGCGUAAAGGGCGUGUAGGCGGUACCAUAAGUCAGAUGUGAAAGCCCUAGGCUUAACCUAGGAAUUGCAUUUGAUACUGUGGAACUAGAGAUCGAGAGAGGUAAGUGGAAUUACGAGUGUAGAGGUGAAAUUCGUAGAUAUUCGUAAGAACACCAGUGGCGAAGGCGACCUACUGGCUCGAUACUGACGCUAAGGCGCGAAAGCGUGGGGAGCAAACAGGAUUAGAUACCCCUGUAGUCCCUGAGCGGGCUGGCAAGGCGCAU